rnacentral:rRNA from 1 species
UGAGGAAUCUUGCGCAAUGGGGGAAACCCUGACGCAGCAACGCCGCGUGAGUGAAGAAGGCCUUCGGGUCGUAAAGCUCUGUCGGGUGGGAAGAAACGCAUGCAGGCAAAUAAUCUGUAUGCUUGACGGUACCGCCAAAGGAAGCACCGGCUAACUCCGUGCCAGCAGCCGCGGUAAUACGGGGGGUGCAAGCGUUGUUCGGAAUUAUUGGGCGUAAAGAGCGUGUAGGCGGCGGGAUAAGUCAGAUGUGAAAGCCCUGGGCUCAACUCAGGAAGUGCAUUUGAUACUGUUUCGCUUGAGUACUGGAGAGGGAAGAGGAAUUCCUGGUGUAGAGGUGAAAUUCGUAGAUAUCAGGAGGAACACCGGUGGCGAAGGCGACUUCCUGGCCAGAUACUGACGCUGAGACGCGAGAGCGUGGGGAGCAAACA